AGAAACACUGCUAUGUAACGUCUGAGUAGAAACCUUGAGAAACACUGGCAUAAGGUAACAACAUGAACUGCUUCUUACUUGAACUAGUUUCUCUAUAUAGUUUGCUAGUGCUCCCCUAAUGGUCAUGAAACCAAACUACCGUAACUCCAGAUGUACAAUAGAAACUAACCUCACAACAGCCACUAAAGCCAAAAAUAUCUUUAAAACAAUUCUCACAAAUUAUGGAGGUAAAAAAUAUAAGAACAUUGGAGAAAUGUUCCAUGUGCAAUGAGUUGACAAAUGGAAGGAUUUUUUGAGUGAACACUGUAAUUUCCAGACUAUUAGUCAUAAGCCACAAACAAGUAUGGCUUAACAUAAUAUUUAUACAGAAAUAUAUUUUUAAUGAAAUACGUACUGGUAGCAUACAAAUACAUACCGUAAAUGUUUUUUCCUAACUGUUGUUGUAAUAUGGCUGCUUAAAGCAAAAGGAAAAAUAAUUGAUUGCGGUCCUAGUCUAACUCCUGCACACUGAAACCAUCAAAGUCGACUUCUUUAGUGUCAGAGUUGAACAGCCUCACACACACUUCCUUAGUCUCUCUUUCGUUGUCUCUCUCAGCAUCACUUUUGUUUUGAGGUAAAUUUGCUCUUGGACUUCUGCUGUCCUCUUCAUCUCACAGCUGUCCACCCUUUUGAAACCUGUUGGUUAAAAGCAGUGCAUUAGCCGUAUCACAGCAAAGAAUCAAAGCAUGUAAAAAAGUAUUGGCUUAUAGUUCAGAAAUAACAGCAUUAAGAAACUGGAGCUUGGGUAGGGCCCAAACUUAACUGACAUAUACAGCAAUUGUGAAAAAUGAAGCCACAUCUUCCCACAGGUUAAUGAUGAGACAGAUCAAAGACGAGUCAGCAGUCUCGUCUGUGAAAGUCAACCAAACUUUAAUAAAAUGCAAAAGAUGUCUUUCAGAAAUCAGACAGAAAAAAAUGCAUAGAUUCAGUCAGAUCUGGUAUAUACUCUGAUUACCUGCAGUUACAUAGAUUUAAGCCACAUUUACGCUGCAAAACAAGCCGCUUCUGGAAUAUUACCGCACCAUCUGCUUGCCUAACUAAUGAUGGUUGGUUACUUUUAACAGUUUUGGUUUUAUGAGUCAUACUUGUUAUUUCUGAGAUUCUCCAACUCCAGGUGCAAAACCUGGAACCACACUAUCUCUGAUUUGUUCGAGCUGACCAGUGCAAGAAUGUGCAAACAUAAUAUUCCAGAGCAGCAGAGCUGUGAUACCAUGAUAUCAUUAUGACAAAUCAUACUGAGUUAAUUAAUAUAAGUUUCAAUAACUGCAACAUAUUGUAAUAAAAGAAUAAGUGUUUUAUCGCAUAUUGUAAUAAAAGACAAAAUAUAAUCCCACACAAGCCUACACGUUGCUCACGACCCUGCAGGCUGGCAGCCAAACAGCAUUGUGGAUGAAACAAGCUAUUUUUGUUUUAAGGUUUAGGAAAUUGCUUUUUAUAUAUGUUAUCAUUUGUAAUACAUUAGAAGUUCUGAGAAAUAUAUACCAAAAUAGUACUACAACAAAUAUUACAAAUAAAAAUGCAUGCAAGCUUUUGCACACACCAGAGCAUUUUAGGGAAGUUUACAUUUCAGAUAUUAAAUGGGAUGUUUUUUUCUUGCUUCUUAAUAUUACUGACUGUAGAAUUUUCUAACACAAGACACGGCAGUAUCACCACUCAACUGUCAUUCCUUUUGUUUGUUGACCCUGCAUGAACUUGCUGUGUGUGUAUGUGGAUGUGUGCGUGUACGUUUGCGUGUGUAUGUGUGUCUGUACUUAGUAAUCAGUGAGCUUCUUUGUUCUUUUUUCAACACACUUUUAAGUUCUUGCAAUAGAUCUUCCAGCACGCAUCAAACAGCUAUGGCUGAAAAUCUUGUCCCUGAACGUUUUUUUAUUUAAUGUAAUAGGGACGUUUCUUGACACUCAAGGACACUACAAAACACACAACAAAAUGUUAAUAAAAUCACCUUUAAUAGAGGGUGACAACUUUACAGAGUAGAAAACAUUACUUAUUUCAAAUGGAAGCAUACAUCUACAUGAUAAUAUUAUAUUUAUGUAAUGUAAAAAAAUAUUGAACAAAGGUUAAAGUAAAAUUACCACAGCAAAUUAGCUUAGCGUAGAGUUGGAUCCUUUGAACUAAUUGUCAUUAUGUCAUAUUCAUUACAUCUUAAAAACAUUUCCAAAAUUCCUCAUUUUACACAAUAGAAAUUUGCAUUAUAAACCGUAUACAGUAGAAACGAUAGAAAUUUGAAUAGAACUCUGCAGUCUACCGGCUAACUGAGGUAAUGCUUGUUGAUGACGUAAUGGCUGACAUCAAGACAGAACAAGCAGCAUGUUUGACAGUGCUAGGCAAGAGCUUGUUAAAAAGGCAAAAACAUUAAUUAUAUGAACCUGGAUCUGGAAUGCUUGGUCAGACAGUGGGAAACCAGGAGUACAUGAAGGAUUGGUGCAACCCCUGCCAGGACCCACACAAGGUAAAGCUCCACAAGGUAAAGACCAAUGGACUCUGCUUUUUAACCCUCCUGCUGUCUUAGCAAUGCUCAGGAGGAGAAAGGCAGAUGUCACGGUCAGACAGCGGGGAAGCAUCAAUGAGACAAAAAAAAAAACUUGGGAUUUCAGUUCAGAAAUUACACCACCUCUUAAACACCAAACAUGUUACUUGUCAAAAAUGACCAGGGGCGCAGUAUAGGAGGAAAAGUUAUGACAAUUCUAAGGGCCCUUGAUGAGAGGGGCCCUCCACAAAAAAAAAAAAAAAAAAAAAAAAGAAUUUACAGAAAUUAAAAAAAAAAUCAGGGCCCUGUCAGUUACUGUUAUUGUGUUUUUAAAAAUUGUUUUUAGCAGUAAAGAUUAAAUGUUACCCCUCCCAGACCAAAAAGCACACAUCUAUAUUUACACUGGACUCCCCCCUGUAUCUGCAUAAAAUGGUUCGUUCCUGCUUGGCGCACUUGAUGGUGACGUUUUCAGCAGCAGUCAGUACAAGACAAGAACGACUGUGGCUGUUACUAAGCUGCCUAGAAAAACAAUGAAGUCAAGUUUUAAGCGAUAAGAGAGAGAAAAAGACAAGAGUUUUGCGUUCAAAUUACAGAUAUAUAUUGCCACGUCCCUCCUGACCCAUCCUC